rnacentral:lncRNA from 1 species
GGCCAGUCUAAAUCCUUCAUACAAUCAUUAAAUCAUCAAUAAUUUCAUAUGAUAUUUCUUGUUCAAUUUCAAAACAACCAAUGUCUUAUUCCAAGGUCAACCAUAACACUAUAGAUCCAAAACCCCUUUCAAGGUCAACCGGUCGAUCUGGAUUUGUUUAGAUGUAUGGACCCUCCACUAGCCUAUAGGGUAUCUAAAGAGAGAAAAAGAAGAGAAGA